rnacentral:rRNA from 1 species
CUAAUCCGCCCUGGGUAAGUCGGGACCUAAGGCGAGGCCGACAGGCGUAGUCGAUGGACAACGGGUUGAUAUUCCCGUACCGGCGAAGAACCGCAAGAGCUAAUCCCGUAAUGCUAAGAGCCCGAAUCCUUUUCCUGAUCCCUUCGGGGUGAUGGUUGAGGGCUAGCGCUCGACCCUACGCGGGUGCGGCUAGCGUAUUAACAGGUGUGACGCAGGAAGGUAGCUGAUCCGGGCGAUGGUUGUCCCGGUGUAAGGGUGUAGGGCGAGAGAUAGGCAAAUCCGUCUCUCAUAACGCUUGAGACCCGACGCGUAGCCCCAUGGGCGAAAUCAGUGAUCCUAAGCUGCCAAGAAAAGCAUCGACGCGAGGUUCUAGCUGCCCGUACCCCAAACCGACUCAGGUGGUCAGGUAGAGAAUACUAAGGAGAUCGAGAGAAUCGUGGUUAAGGAACUCGGCAAAAUGCCCCCGUAACUUAGGGAGAAGGGGGGCCGGAUCCGUGACGUAAUUUACUUAUUGAGCGGUGAAGGCCGCAGAGACCAGUGGGAAGCGACUGUUUACUAAAAACACAGGUCCGUGCGAAGUUGCAAGACGAUGUAUACGGACUGACGCCUGCCCGGUGCUGGAAGGUUAAGGAGAUCGGUUAGCUUCGGCGAAGCUGAGAACUUAAGCCCCAGUAAACGGCGGUGGUAACUAUAACCAUCCUAAGGUAGCGAAAUUCCUUGUCGGGUAAGUUCCGACCUGCACGAAUGGCGUAACGACUUCCCAACUGUCUCAACCGCGAACUCGGCGAAAUUGCACUACGAGUAAAGAUGCUCGUUACGCGCAGCAGGACGGAAAGACCCCGUGACCUUUACUACAGCUUGGUAUUGGUGUUCGGUGUGGCUUGUGUAGGAUAGGUGGGAGACUUUGAAGCGGACACGCCAGUGUUCGUGGAGUCAUUGUUGAAAUACCACUCUGGUCACUCUGGACAUCUAACUUCGAACCGUGAUCCGGUUCAGGGACAGUGCCUGGUGGGUAGUUUAACUGGGGCGGUUGCCUCCCAAAAAGUAACGGAGGCGCCCAAAGGUUCCCUCAGCCUGGUUGGCAAUCAGGUGGCGAGUGUAAGUGCACAAGGGAGCUUGACUGUGAGACUGACAGGUCGAGCAGGGACGAAAGUCGGGACUAGUGAUCCGGCAGUGGCUUGUGGAAGCGCUGUCGCUCAACGGAUAAAAGGUACCUCGGGGAUAACAGGCUGAUCUUGCCCAAGAGUCCAUAUCGACGGCAUGGUUUGGCACCUCGAUGUCGGCUCGUCGCAUCCUGGGGCUGGAGUAGGUCCCAAGGGUUGGGCUGUUCGCCCAUUAAAGCGGCACGCGAGCUGGGUUUAGAACGUCGUGAGACAGUUCGGUCCCUAUCCGCUGCGUGCGUAGGAAGUUUGAGAGGAUCUGACCCUAGUACGAGAGGACCGGGUUGGACGAACCUCUGGUGUGUCAGUUGUCCUGCCAAGGGCACCGCUGAUUAGCUACGUUCGGGAUGGAUAACCGCUGAAAGCAUCUAAGCGGGAAGCCGGCCUCGAGAUGAGACUUCCAUACCUUUUAGGUGAGAGGCUCCCAGUAGACCACUGGGUUGAUAGGCCGGAUGUGGAAGCGAGGACUAAAGACUCGUGAAGCUGACCGGUACUAAUAAGCCGAAAACUUGACAU